GGACAGAGAAUCAUCUGAUGAAGAAGAUGAUCGAGAGAACCUGAUCCAUCAAAAUGAAAGAGUAAAUCACCUCUCUAAAUCUCCACGCCCAUCCACAUUCCAAAUCGAAGACGUCAAGGACCGAUUUGCCCUUUGUCGGCGCUUCAAUUUCACCUCCGGUAAGACGUAUUUACUGGCAAUUAUUCUUCCACUUCUGGUACUCAUUCUUUAUUUCGCCACCGAUAUCAAGGCCCUAUUUCAGACCACUGUUACCACCAUAAAGUAUGAUGGUUCUGUCAAUUCCAUGCGCGAGUCCGAAUUGCGGGCUCUUUAUUUGCUUAAACAGCAGCAAUUGGGACUUUUCAAGCUGUGGAAUCACACACUAGUUAAUGAUACUUCUACUACACAUAGCUUGGAGUCCGCUCCUGGGUUUACUUUGGUUUCGAGGUCCUCAAUUGUCGAAGAUCUCAAAGACGAUUUGCUCAGACAGAUUUCACUAAAUAAACAAAUUCAGCAAGUUCUUUUAUCCUCUCAUCAAUUAGGUAACUCUUUAAUUACAUCAGAUAAUUCCACAGACCCUAGUCUUGGUGGUUUAGGUAGGUGUCGGAAGGUGGAUCACAACUUGUCCGAGAGGAGAACUGUGGAAUGGAAACCAAGAUCCAACAAGUACUUGUUUGCAAUUUGUGUCUCCGGCCAGAUGUCAAACCAUUUGAUCUGUUUGGAAAAGCAUAUGUUCUUCGCAGCUCUGCUCAACCGCGUUUUGGUUAUUCCGAGCUCAAAAGUUGAUUAUGAGUUUCGUAGAGUCUUAGAUGUUGAUCAUAUAAAUAAGUGCUUGGGGAGAGAAGUAAUUGUGACCUAUGAUGAGUUUGCAGAAAGACGAAAGAGCCAUUUGCACAUAGAUAAAUUCCUUUGUUAUUUCUCUCAGCCACAACCUUGUUUUUUGGAUGAAGAACGUGUUAAGAAAUUGAAGUCAUUAGGGAUAUCUAUGAAUAAGCUCGAAGCUGCUUGGGAUGAAGAUGUUAAGAAUCCAAAGAAAAGGACUGCCCAAGACAUAGUGGCAAAGUUUUCAAUGGAUGAUGAUGUUCUUGCAAUAGGUGAUGUGUUCUUUGCUGAUGUGGAGAAGGACUGGGUAAUGCAGCCUGGAGGCCCCAUUUCCCACAAAUGCAAGACACUUAUUGAGCCAAGUCGUCUUAUUAUGCUUACUGCUCAACGUUUCGUCCAAACGUUUUUAGGAGACAACUUUAUCGCUCUUCAUUUCCGCAGACACGGUUUUCUGAAAUUCUGCAAUGCUAAAAAGCCAAGUUGCUUCUACCCUGUUCCUCAAGCUGCAGACUGUAUCAAUCGUGUGCUUGAGAGGGCCAAUUCUCCAGUAAUGUAUCUUUCCACAGAUGCUGCAGAAAGUGAAACUGGUCUUCUUCAGUCACUUGUUGUAUUCAAUGGGAAGACAGUACCCCUUGUUCAAAGGCCUGCUCGAAAUUCAGCCGAAAAAUGGGAUGCUUUAUUGUACAGACAUGGCCUUGAGGGUGACCCUCAGGUGGAAGCUAUGCUGGACAAGACAAUUUGUGCUAUGUCUAGUGUGUUUAUUGGAUCAUCAGGGUCUACUUUUACUGAUGAUAUUUUGCGGCUACGAAAAGACUGGGGAUCUGCUUCGCUUUGUGAUGAGUAUUUAUGUCAGGGUGAACUGCCAAACUUUGUCGCUGAUGACGAGUGAAGCAGAUAAUGGUUGAGCAUACUUCGUCUAGUACUCCUCAAGCUCAUUCUGCUACUGGACAAGUUACUCUGCCCAAAGCAAUUGCUCUACUUGCAAAGCAAAUGAAAAAUUGUGUUGGAGUAAAGAGUGAUAUCGGUUGUUAUAUUGUCUGUUCGAUACUUGUAAUCUCGGUUCUUUAGCAUAGAUGGCCUAUUUGGCUAAUUCUUUUGGUCUGUAUUCUAGUGUAUAAUAUUGGUUAGCGGAGUAACAAUGUUUUGUUCUGUGUAGCUGUUUUAUCUCUUGCGACCAGUUUUAGAGUUUGUAGGUUUGCAUAUUGACACAUACACAUCUCAAUAUUCAGGAUGAAAAAAGACAACUUCACUUUCUUGUGGUAGAAAAUGGAGUUGUUUCAUUUCUCUCUCUUUAGUUCUUUGUUUGUGUUUUAUGUAUACCGAGGGAAAAUCAGAAAA
rnacentral:misc_RNA from 1 species